AGAGUUUGAUCCUGGCUCAGAUUGAACGCUGGCGGCAUGCCUUACACAUGCAAGUCGAACGGCAGCAUGAUCUAGCUUGCUAGAUUGAUGGCGAGUGGCGAACGGGUGAGUAAUACAUCGGAACGUGCCCUGUAGUGGGGGAUAACUAGUCGAAAGAUUAGCUAAUACCGCAUACGACCUGAGGGUGAAAGUGGGGGACCGCAAGGCCUCAUGCUAUAGGAGCGGCCGAUGUCUGAUUAGCUAGUUGGUGGGGUAAAGGCCCACCAAGGCGACGAUCAGUAGCUGGUCUGAGAGGACGAUCAGCCACACUGGGACUGAGACACGGCCCAGACUCCUACGGGAGGCAGCAGUGGGGAAUUUUGGACAAUGGGCGAAAGCCUGAUCCAGCAAUGCCGCGUGUGUGAAGAAGGCCUUCGGGUUGUAAAGCACUUUUGUCCGGAAAGAAAUGGCUCUGGUUAAUACCUGGGGUCGAUGACGGUACCGGAAGAAUAGGGACCGGCUAACUACGUGCCAGCAGCCGCGGUAAUAC
rnacentral:rRNA from 1 species